AGAGGGAGAGGCUGUAGGAUGGCAACUGAGCAGUCUUGAGAAACUAAAAAUCUAAUUGUGAAGAGAGGAUCCAUUUGGAGUAAGGCACAGAAGAGCCAUACAUACUUACAUAUUUGAGGAAGAGGUGCAGCUCCCUGUGAUCUUUGGGAUUGAUGGUUGCCUCAAACAGAGGAAAACAAUGGCUACUGAACAAACCUCUUAGCUGUCUCCACAGAAUGCUGUUCUGCCAACUCCUUCUCCAGUUCCCUCU